rnacentral:lncRNA from 1 species
AGAGCUACCUUCAGGGAUCUAGAUCCAGAUUCAGAUUCAAAUUACCUCGACCAACUUCCGCUACGGGCUUGAGGUAAUUUUACAUAAAAGUUAAAUUUAAUAUUUAUAAUUGUUAUAAAUAAAAUAAAAAAAUUUAAAACUAAUUUUUCAUGCCUGGCGUUCGAUUUUAUCGGACAACUCGGAAAAUUUUUCCUUCAACUGGUAUCAGAGCCAGGUUGGCCGAUGGAAUUGGCCUAUAACAUCUAGAAUUAUGCAUGAUUUAAUUUUUAAAUUUAGAUUAGAUAUAGAUUUAUUGAUAAAAUAUCAAUCUUGUGCUGAAUUAUAAGGUUGUCCUGCUAUAAGGUUAAUCCCUUAUAGUAAAAAGGUUGUCCUAGCACAAAAUUGAGAUUAAUUUGUAUCAUAAAAUAGUUUAUUUUUGUGAAAUUAUGCAUAAUUGAUGUUUAUGAAAUUUAAGUUUUAAAUUUAAUAUGACCACAAAGUUUAAAUAUAAAUUGUUUAUAUUUGGAAUAAAUUGACACCUUGAAUCCAUGAUCAUAAUACAUUUAAUAAAGAAUUAAAUGUUGAAUUUA